GAAGAUAUGGCUGCUCCUGGAUGAAAAUACACUGAUGCUUCACUGAGAAUCUAGCAAUCAGUCGUUCUAGUCUGAUUUUUACUCGUAUUUGUGUGCCUAUAGACAAGUGUAUGUCCUGGAUCGAUGUUUACCAGGUUUUGGGUACCCAAGUCAAAUUAGUAUUGAAGAUUGCU
rnacentral:sRNA from 1 species